GUCCGGAUUGGAGUCUGCAACUCGACUCCAUGAAGUCGGAAUCGCUAGUAAUCGUGGAUCAGAAUGCCACGGUGAAUACGUUCCCGGGCCUUGUACACACCGCCCGUCACACCAUGGGAGUGGGUUGCAAAAGAAGUAGGUAGCUUAACCUUCGGGAGGGCGCUUACCACUUUGUGAUUCAUGACUGGGGUGAAGUCGUAACAAGGUAACCGUAGGGGAACCUGC
rnacentral:rRNA from 1 species